AUUGAACGCUGGCGGCAUGCCUUACACAUGCAAGUCGAACGGCAGCAUGCUCUCUCUCGCUCGAUUGCUGGCGAGUGGCGAACGGGUGAGUAAUACAUCGGCACGUGCCCUGUUGUGGGGGAUAACUAGUCGCUAGAUCUGCUACUACCGCAUACGACCUGAGGGUGAAAGUGGGGGACCGCAAGGCCUCAUGCUAUAGGCUCGGCCGCUGUCUGCUUAUCUAGUUGGUGAGGUCAAGGCUAACCAAGGCGACGAUCAGUAGCUGGUCUGAGAGGACGAUGAGCGACAGUGAGGCUGAGCCACGGCCCUGACUCCGACGGGAGGCAGCGGUGGGGAAGUUUGGACGAUGGGCGGAAGCCUGAUCCAGCAGUGCCGGGUGGGUGAAGAAGGGCUUCGGGUUGUAUAGCACUUUUGUCGGGGAAGAAAUGGCUCUGGUUAAUACCUGGGGUUUGUGACGGUACCGGAAGAAGAAGGACCGGCUAACUACGUG
rnacentral:rRNA from 1 species